CAUACAUGUAUACUUAUACUCACAAAAUGUGCCUCCCGAUAUCUUGUAUAAUUAUGUAUAACAUUGUAUAAUUUCAUGAUUACGAUAUUCUGAAUUUAUAGAGGCAACCUUACAUGUACAUGUAGCUCAGUAACAGAAUGUUCAAUUAUUGAAAGCCCGCGGGUGCUGAUGCCUCAGUGGAAUGCUAGCAGCACGUGAAGCUAAUACUUUUACUUUUACUCAGACUCUUGCUAUUUAACAAUUAUUUGCAUGCAGGGAUGCAAGAGAGUGGGAAAUAAAGACCCUGAUAAGAAUGUUACCAAAAGUUCAAAGUCUAUAUAAUUUAUGGCUGCUGCAUCUCUGCGCACUUAAGGCCCGGGUCCAGAUUUCAAUACCAAAAUUUACACUAUGUUCAUACUGCUGUAUUAUUAGCCUCGAUUCCAGGCCGCUGAGAAAGGCGGCCUGGUAUACACUGUUACGCAUGCGCCAGAAUUACCAAGAAUCUUGGUAAUCGUAAAUUGUAGUAUAUUUAUCAGUAUUCUUAUUCCGCAUUUAGUUGUAAAACAUUGAUAUCCGUUUCAUUUAUAAUGAUGUCAUUGAAAAAAGAAAUCUAGUCCAAGUUGUGUAAUGGCUGCUACCUUCUCUUCUGCUCUCGCGUACGCGUUAUCCUGUGUUGGAAAACCAGGUCUAGUCUUGAAAGACAAGCAGCUGGAGGCGUUGAAGUGUCUGUACGCUGGUGUUUAUGUGGGUACCGUACCGACCGGCUAUGGCAAGUCCCAGAGCAAGUCCAUCUGCUUUCCAGACACUCCCUUUCUUGAUUGAUGUGAAGCUUGACACCUCUCUCUGAAAGAAGUGUUGUGAUGAAAAAAGUGUUGUGAUGGUGAUUUCUCCUCUUGUUUCUCUGAGUGAAGCCAUCUUCAAAGUGUUAGUGUGUCUGUUCGACGUUCAGUGCCAUUCUCUCUGGAAGGAAGUAUUGUUGUGACAUUUGCCGAAAAUUGGUCACAGAGUAAGUACGUGGUAUCUGAUCCGAGAACUGUGUGGCCUGAAUGUGUUUACAAUCCGAGGGACUUGUGUGCAUCCGAUCCGAGGGCUAGGGACUUGUUGCUUGAGUGUGUAUUAAUGGAUAGUGCUUUCAAUGGUUUAACUAAUUUCUUAUGAGAUUAACUUGUCGCCUGAGUGUGUAUCCGAUCCGAGCCUCAAGUUAAUGAAUAAAUCUACAGAGCUGAUGUUUUACUUAGCUGUCUCUGUCUACAGUAUAUACAGAGAGUAAAUACCAGGCCCACUAUUCAAGGGGCUGGAGUCGAGGCUACUGUAUUAUUUGCAAUAUACAGUGUAUGCUGCAUCAAAUUGAUCCAAAAUGAAGCUCAAUGUUUUCUUUUUUCCAAAAAACUAAUUAUCAAUAUCUAGCGUUCUCGGAUCCUAAUAGCAAGUUAUAUCGACCAAUUUUGCUACACACGAGUCUAAAGAGACUGCUAUGGCGCUCAAAGUAAGCAAAACUAGCCAUACCCGAGAACAAAGCCUUAUUUUGCAAGUCCACACAUUGAAAACAUUGCUAGAAGAGCAGCUAUAAUACAUGUAGCAGCUAGUCUACGCAUUCAUACACAAACACACUACCGUCUAUUACCUCGCUGCGCAUGCGCACAUUGAGGCAUAAUAUAGAACAUGUUGGUGCAAAUCAUUCAAUAAUUAUAAUUAUACAGCCACUUUUUCUAAAACAAAAUUGAUAUUAGCACGAAUCAAAAUGCCAACACGGUUCAUGACAUUGUUCCUACACAUGUAUUAAUUGUCCCUUGAUUACAAAUAAUUAUAAUGUACAUUUCACCUUAUUUUACUACAGUUCUUAAUUUAUCUGAGGUACAUGUAUCAUUGCAGCAGUGCAUACUUUUUAACAACUUAUUUCUUUCAUA